AACGUUAACGAACGAGACCUUAACCUGCUAAAUAGUUAGGCCAACGUUUGUUGGUCGUCAACUUCUUAGAGGGACUAUUGACUAUUAGUCAAUGGAAGUUUGAGGCAAUAACAGGUCUGUGAUGCCCUUAGAUGUUCUGGGCCGCGCGCGCGCUACACUGAUGCAGUCAUCGAGUGACACUGUUCUUCGGGACGUUUCCUUGACUGAGAGGUCUGGGUAAUCUUGUGAACCUGCAUCGUGCUGGGGAUAGAUGAUUGUAAUUGUUCAUCUUGAACGAGGAAUUCCUAGUAAACGCGAGUCAUCAACUCGCAUUGAUUACGUCCCUGCCCUUUGUACACACCGCCCGUCGCUAAUACCGAUUGAAUGGUUA
rnacentral:rRNA from 1 species